GAGGGUAUAGCUCAGUGGUAGAGCGCAUGCUCAGUGUGCACGAGGUCCUGGGUUCAAUUCCCAGGACUUCUA
rfam:Camelus ferus unplaced genomic scaffold scaffold2578, whole genome shotgun sequence.